CCCCUAGAUGUUCUGGGCCGCACGCGCGCUACACUGAACAGUUCAACAAGUCUUAACCUUGGCCGAUAGGUCUGGGUAAUCUUUGAACGCUGUUCGUGAUUGGGAUAGACCUUUGCAAUUAUGGGUCUUCAACGAGGAAUUCCUCGUAAGCACGAGUCAUCAGCUUGUGCUGAUUACGUCCCUGCCCUUUGUACACACCGCCCGUCGCUCCUACCGAUUGGGUGCUCCGGUGAAUUGUUUGGACUGCUGUCAGUCUUUUUGGCUGUCGGCGAGAAGCUCUGUGAACCUUAGCACCUAGAGGAAGGAGAAGUCGUAACA
rnacentral:rRNA from 1 species